GGCCUUGACAUACUAAGAACUUUCCAGAGAUGGAUUGGUGCCUUCGGGAACUUAGAUACAGGUGCUGCAUGGCUGUCGUCAGCUCGUGUCGUGAGAUGUUGGUUAAGUCCCGNAACGAGCGCAACCCUUUUCCUUAUUUGCCAGCGGGUCAUGCCGGGAACUUUAAGGAUACUGCCAGUGACAAACUGGAGGAAGGCGGGGACGACGUCAAGUCAUCAUGGCCCUUACGGCCAGGGCUACACACGUGCUACAAUGGUCGGUACAAAGGGUUGCUACCUCGCGAGAGGAUGCUAAUCUCAAAAAGCCGAUCGUAGUCCGGAUCGCAGUCUGCAACUCGACUGCGUGAAGUCGGAAUCGCUAGUAAUCGCGGAUCAGAAUGCCGCGGUGAAUACGUUCCCGGGCCUUGUACACACCGCCCGUCACACCAUGGGAGUUUGUUGCACCAGAAGUAGGUAGUCUAACCGCAAGGAGGACGCUUACCACGGUGUGGCCGAUGACUGGGGUGAAGUCGUAACAAGGUAAGCGUAGAUGA
rnacentral:rRNA from 1 species